AUUGAACGCUGGCGGCAGGCCUAACACAUGCAAGUCGAACGAGUGGCGGACGGGUGAGUAAUGUCUGGGAAACUGCCUGAUGGAGGGGGAUAACUACUGGAACAGGUAGCUAAUACCGCAUACCAUCGGAUGUGCCCAGAUGGGAUUAGCUAGUAGGUGGGGUAAAGGCUCACCUAGGCGACGAUCCCUAGCUGGUCUGAGAGGAUGACCAGCCACACUGGAACUGAGACACGGUCCAGACUCCUACGGGAGGCAGCAGUGGGGAAUAUGGCACAAUGGGCGAAAGCCUGAUGCAGCCAUGCCGCGUGUAUGAAGAAGGCCUUCGGGUUGUAAAGCACUUUCAGCAGGGAGGCGUUACCUGCAGAGGAAGCAACGGCUAACUCCGUGCCAGCAGCCGCGGUAAUUC
rnacentral:rRNA from 1 species